UGUAAACAUCCCCGACUGGAAGCUGUACAACACAGCUGAGCUUUCAGUCAGAUGUUUGCU
rnacentral:pre_miRNA from 13 species